CUGUCCCAUAGCUGUGUUCCCGUUACUGGUAUCAUGUUACAGCCAAACGAAAACACCCUCUCCGCUCCUUCGCCCCGCACUCUCUUCUACAAUCUCCCCUGAUACACCCUGGAUUGCUGAUGUAUUGUCCAACAGGAGUGCAUCCCUCAAGCCAUCCGGUGCAUGGACAUCCUGUUCCAGUGCGAUGCGAGGGUGACCGUCCAGUUGUAGAGACGACAGCAGAUCGAGCCUGAGGACAGACCGUUCACAUCCAUUCCAUCCUUACCUUAAUGAUGCGUGCCAGGCCAAAGUCAGCCACCUUACAGACCAGGUCAUCUCCCACCAGGAUGUUCCUGGCCGCCAGGUCCCUGUGCACGAUAUGUCGGUCCUCCAGG